AAUAGAUACCCAGGUAGUCCACGCCGUAAACGAUGAGUGCUAAGUGUUAGGGGGUUUCCGCCCCUUGGUGGCUGCAGCUAACGCAUUAAGCACUCCGCCUGGGGAGUACGGUCGCAAGACUGAAACUCAAAGGAAUUGACGGGGGCUCGCACAAGCGGUGGAGCAUGUGGUUUAAUUCGAAGCAACGCGAAGAACCUUACCAGGUCUUGACAUCCCAUUGACCACUAUGGAGACAUAGUUUUCCCUUCGGGGACAACGGUGACAGGUGGUGCAUGGUUGUCGUCAGCUCGUGUCGUGAGAUGUUGGGUUAAGUCCCGCAACGAGCGCAACCCUUGUUCUUAGUUGCCAUCAUUUAGUUGGGCACUCUAAGGAGACUGCCGGUGACAAACCGGAGGAAGGUGGGGAUGACGUCAAAUCAUCAUGCCCCUUAUGACCUGGGCUACACACGUGCUACAAUGGACGGUACAAACGGUUGCCAACCCGCGAGGGGAGCUAAUCCGAUAAAACCGUUCUCAGUUCGGAUUGUAGGCUGCAACUCGCCUAC
rnacentral:rRNA from 1 species